UACGUAGGGUGCUAGCGUUGUUCGGAAUCAUUGGGCGUAAAGCGCGUGUAGGCGGUCAAAUAAGUCUGGUGUGAAAGCCCUGGGCUCAACCGAGGAAGUGCAUCAGAAACUAUUUGACUAGAAGACGGUAGAGGAAGGUGGAAUUCCAAGUGUAGAGGUGAAAUUCGUAGAUAUUUGGAGGAAUACCGGUGGCGAAGGCGGCCUUCUGGGCCGAUCUUGACGCUGGGACGCGAAAGCGUGGGGAGCAAACAGG
rnacentral:rRNA from 1 species